UACAGAGGAGCCAAGCGUUGUCCGGAUUGACUGGGCGUAAAGCGCACGCAGGCGGUCUGGCGCGUGGGGUGUGAAAUCUGGCCGCCUAACGGCCAGGCGCCAUCCCAUACGGCCGGACUGGAGGGCUGCAGAGGUCGAUGGAAUUGCCGGUGUAGUGGUGAAAUGUGUAGAGAUCGGGAGGAACACCGGUGGCGAAGGCGGUCUUCUGGACGGUGACUGACGCUGAGGCGCGAAAGCGUGGGGAGCAAACGGG
rnacentral:rRNA from 1 species